AAAAGGUUUGGGUUAUUAUAUAUGGUAUGGUAGAGUGGUCCAUUUCAAUUAUCAUUUCUCAUAUACCCAAAAACUUUGUUUGUAAAGAAAGAACCUGGCCAUGUUUUUCCACAGCUUUCUUGAACUUAAAAUUUCUUUGUUCAUUCACCAACUAACUACAUAAUAUCUCAAUUCUAAACAAAGCUUUGAAGCUCAAGAAAGCUGUGGGAAAUCAUGACACUUCCAGGCUCUUCUCAAUUCCUUCCCUUCCAGGUUCAGAAAGUGGGAAGAGAAAAGGUGAUAUGAGAAUAUGAUAAUUGGUUGCAUUAUAUUAAAGCAAAGCUCCCUCUGCAGCAAUAAAGGGGUCUAAAUUGGAGAGAAUCAUAUUUUUCUUUUUCUUUAGCUAAUUUAUUUAAUUAUUUACUUACAUUUGUUACCAUAUAUGUCCCCAACUUUAUACAUUUAUUUGGAAAUUUUAUUUGAAUUUGGAAGAAGUAAAAAUAAUGGUUUUUAUUUUUUUUUAUCAGUGACUUCGAGUUUAAUUUAAAUAGAAUAAUUAAGUGAAAUUAGUUAUAAUUUUAUUUAAAGUUUAAAGUUUAAUUGAUUUAUAUCUUAGUUGUUUAUUUUAAUCAACACCAAAUUUUUUGAGGUAUAAAUUGACUUUUCUUUC